rnacentral:tRNA from 1 species
GCAGGAGUGACGGAACUGGAAUACGUAUCUGCUUCAAAUACAGAGUUGAGCGGCUUGUCCGCGAUGCUUCUUGACCUCUGGUCAAGAAGAUACCCCUGGUUCGAGUCCCUUCUCCUGUA